AAUCAACGCUGGCGGCGUGCCUAACACAUGCAAGUCGAACGAGAAAACGGGGGCAACUCCGUAAGUAAAGUGGCAGACGGGUGAGUAACACGUGAACAACCUACCCUUGAGUGUGGGAUAACCCCGCGAAAGCGGGGCUAAUACCGCAUAACAUCCCCUGGUUGCAUGAUUGGGGGAUCAAAAGCGAAAGUUGCUUAAGGAGGGGUUCGCGGCUGAUUAGCUAGUUGGUGAGGUAACGGCCCACCAAGGCAACGAUCAGUAGCCGGCCUGAGAGGGCGAACGGCCAGACUGGAACUGAGACACGGUCCAGACUCCUACGGGAGGCAGCAGUGGGGAAUUUUGCGCAAUGGGCGAAAGCCUGACGCAGCAACGCCGCGUGGAGGAUGAAGGCCUUCGGGUCGUAAACUCCUGUCAGGGGGGACGAAAGCCUUAACGGGUUUGACCGUACCCUCUGAGGAAGCCACGGCUAACUCCGUGCCAGCAGCCGCCGUAAGAC
rnacentral:rRNA from 1 species